rnacentral:ncRNA from 1 species
AACAAAGAUAAAAACACAGUCCGGUUGGUAGUCCGGGCGCGGUGAAAGCCGUCAGUAACCUGCCUCCUUGGUUGUCCGUUCUUUGUA